GAAGAAAUUUAUAUCAAAAUAACAAGAGAUCUGGGACUCUCUCUAACGAGUCCUAAGGUUGUAGGCUCCCUUUCAUGGCCCAUGAAAUAAGGACAAGGAGAAGGAUCUGUUAAACACAGACUUCUCAGUGAACACCCGGAGACAAGAUCCAUAUCGUGUGGUCAUAACAACUUGGUAUCAGAGCCAAACACUAUAGGCGAUCCAAGCAAAUGUGAAGAGUUACAAGCUCUCCUUCAAGAAGCACAGGCUGCGAAUGAAGCAGAGAUCGCAGAAGCAGUGGCAAAAUCUGAAUCAAGGAUGGUUUCUCAAUUGGAACAUUUAUUGUUACAAUUGCAGGAGGUCAUUGUGGGGUUUAGCAUAAAUCAAGGAAAAGAUUCUGAUGUGGGAGUGAGCAGCAAUACAGGUAAACAACCCUACAAACCAGAAAAUCGAUCCAAUCAAUUGACAGGAAAUAAUAUGGUGCCAAGAUACACAAAGCUAGAUUUCCCUACCUUUGAUGGAUCCGACGACCCAUUAAUUUGGCUACAGUGAGAAAUUCUUAUCCAAUCAGAGAACAAAUGAAACUGAUAAGGUGGGAUUGGCUACAUUCCAUCUUCUAGGUCAGGCACAUUUAUGGCAUCAUCAAGUAGAACAAGAUAAUCACUCAGUUGACUGGUUGGAAUUCAAUAAAUAUUGUACUCUCAGGUUUGGGCCUCCAUUGGGAAGUAAUCCAUUAGGUGAUUUAGUUAACUUGAAGUAAAUGGGCUCAAUUGAAGAAUAUCACUGCCAAUUUCAAGAACGGUGAGGGCCAGCAAGUACGUUCACGUAGACCAGCAGGCUAGUCUCUUCACUGCCAGCCUUAUUGAUCCGAUCCCAUUCGACUUGAUGUUUAGAUACAGAGUCCACCAGAUUUGGUUCACAUCAUGAAUAUAGCUUGAGAAUUUGAGAAGAAAGAGGAGACAAUGUGGCCAACAUCUUAUAGAAAGGAGACAUGACAAGGGACUAAAGGCUAU
rnacentral:lncRNA from 1 species